rnacentral:lncRNA from 7 species
CCUUUGGUCCUGAGCUGGAAAAAGACCAGCUCCUGCUGCAGACAGCACUCUGUUUCCAUUCCUCUAGAGCAGGUUAGGCUGAUCACCUCCAAUGCUGCCCUGCAAGGAUUUGAGUCUGGGUGUCUCUUCAGUCAGGGCAGACUGUCCCAGAGACAAAAUCCCCCUCUGGAAGAAGUGCAGUCUAGGAGGAACAAGGCUGCCUCCUUACCUGGGCCAGCCCAGCUGCAUCCAGGACUAAACAUCCCCCCUUGGGCGAGGAAGGGAACAGGAAGAGAACAAGGAGCCAUCCCAGCCAUGUCAGCCGAGUCCUUGACGCCUGCUGUGCGACCCGCGGCUCUGUGUGAAACCUGUGAUGGGAUUCUGGAUGGACCGAAAGUCUUGGUUGAGCCUUACAGGAUGGGAGGAUAACCAUCGUGACUGUUGGGAUGAAGCUACUGGACCAGCAAAGUUUAUUAGGAUAGCUUUAAUACCGCAGGACACGGGCUGCACCACUCUGGCUUCCAAAUACCAAACUGGGAAUCAAAGCAGAUCACGGCUACACUGUUCAGCCCUGGAAUGAACAAACAGUGGAUGACAGAGAGACCGCCAUUCCUGUUUCACGAACACGAAACAAUAGAUGAGGUGAACUGACUUGCUUAAGGUAAGCCAGAAGCAAUUAUAAGAGAAGGGCAAAGAGCUCUCCCUCGUCUCACUGCAGCACCAUAUUCACCUGCCAUCCUUUCUCUCCUAGUUUUAUACACUAACUUUUUUUCCACAGCAGAGCCACUUCCUCUGUGCCAAGCCUUAUACACAUUUACUCAAAUGAGUAAUUUACUUACUUUAAGUAUUUACUUUAAAGUAAUUUCAGUAAGGAUUUGAUGCAGGAUGGAGCCCUUCAUUGCCUAAAACUCUUCAGAUUACUAUUUUAAUUCCUUCUUGCAGAGUACAAACAAAAAACAAAACAAAACAGUUGUUCAUUAUACUUUCCUUAGAUUAUGCUAUACUUUCACUAAGAACCAUAAAUAUUAAGCUACCUUUAACUCAGUUACUAAAAAGACAACUGGCAGAGCAAACCACAGUAGCUUAAAGAAGACUUGCCUAGGGAUUCCAGCAUGAACACCAUCCCACACAAUCCACACGUGCAUGUCUGCAAAGUAUUUCUGCAUUGCUCAGCUGAGAGUAUUGCAGGCGUGCCCUUUAGAACUCUUAAGAGACUUUUAACAGAGCACACGGAAAAAGAAAAUGGACUAGACUGUGUUCACUUGCAACACAAAAAAAAAACCUCAAAGGCAAUCAAUGCCUGACAUACACGUGCAACAAUAUUAUUACAGUUGCCUAGGAACCACGGCAAUGAGCCUGCCUAAGGCAGGAUGCUGAUAUUGUAAAUGAAUGGAAGAAAGUUGGCAGUGAUAUGGCAUCGAUUUGUCCCUAUUAGGAUCUUGUUAGGAUAAUGCCUUUUAUGACACACUUAAAGCCUACCCAGUCCUUGAAAUAUGAAAUAAUCACAUCUCAAAUUCAAAUUCACUCUAAACAAUUAAUUCAGUGCUCAGGGAGCUAGCACAAAUAGAAAUGGCAAU